rnacentral:sRNA from 1 species
UUGCGCAGUUUGCGUGCGGUUUUCGGAGCUAAAGGACGCAGCAGCGGCAACGCCAACGGAUAAGCCAAGCGCCAACGAAUCAUACUAGCAAAAAAAAAAAAUAACAAAAAAAAAAACAGAAAAAGAAAAUCAACAACAACAACAGCCUGCUAAGCAAAACUAUUGUGAACUGAGUGUGUGAUUGUGAUUGGCACGCAAAGGCUGCGCAAGGACCCUUGGAUUACCUUGCGGGGCCCAAAACGAAAAUAGAAGAGGCAGUCGACGAAGAAGAAGAAGAGGGCGAAUAGCAUCACCAGCAGCAGAGCAGCAGCAACAUCUUUUGCCGAGAACGACGCCCGCCGG